GAUGAACGCUAGCGGGAGGCUUAACACAUGCAAGUCGAGGGGCAGCAUAGGGUAGCAAUACUCUGAUGGCGACCGGCAAACGGGUGAGUAACGCGUAUGCAACCUACCAUUGAUUGGGGCAUAGCCCGAAGAAAUUCGGAUUAAUACUCCAUAAUAUUCAUCAAAGGCAUCUUUAUGAAUUAAAGCUUUUGCGAUCAAUGAUGGGCAUGCGUGACAUUAGUUAGUUGGUGAGGUAACGGCUCACCAAAACGAUGAUGUCUAGGGGUUCUGAGAGGAAGGUCCCCCAACUGGUACUGAGACACGGACCAGACUCCUACGGGAGGCAGCAGUGAGGAAUAUUGGUCAAUGGGCGAGAGCCUGAACCAGCCAUCCCGCGUGCAGGAAGACGGCCCUAGUGGGUUGAAACUGCUUUUGCGCAUGAAGAAUGUUACCGACGUGUCGGUAAGUGACGGUACCGUGGGAAUAAGCAUCGGCUAACUCCGUG
rnacentral:rRNA from 1 species